AACGUAGGAGACAAACGUUAUCCGGAGUUACUGGGCGUAAAGGGCGCGUAGGCGGUGUGUCAAGUCAGGCGUGGAAGCCCCGGGCUCAACCUGGGAACCGCGCUUGAGACUGGCACGCUAGAGCUCGGGAGAGGAUGGUGGAAUUCCCAGUGUAGAGGUGAAAUUCGUAGAUAUUGGGAAGAACACCGAUGGCGAAGGCAGCCAUCUGGACCGACACUGACGCUGAGGCGCGAAAGCGUGGGGAGCAAACAGG
rnacentral:rRNA from 1 species